rfam:Anaerobacillus arseniciselenatis strain DSM 15340 Ga0137926_144, whole genome shotgun sequence.
CAAUGCAAGAAGGAGCGCCCGCUUCUCACCUGACUGACACAAAUGUAGUUUGCAGGUUACUUAAAUAUUGAUGAUAAUCAAUAAAGGUGUGGGCGUAGUAUGCGUCUCACACCUUUUUUAUUUA